GGAGAUAAUUUAGGGAUCUGAUUUGUCAUAUUUUAGGAAUGUUUUCCUAGAUAUCUAGAUUGUAUAUAGCAGAUAAUUAGGUUGUAAAUAAGUUGGAAAUACUUACCUUGUAUAGCAUUUAGGCGCUGGAAAUCUGGCAUUAUCUAUGUAAACCUCUUCUAUAUAAUGAAAGGAAACCCUAUGGAAAGGGCAUUUAGACCAAUUUGACAUGGUACCAUAGCCCCUACUCUGAUUAUCGUUUCUCUGUGGUCUUAAUCUUUGAGAGUUUUCUGAGUUGCAGCGAUAGGAAUUUUUUUUCCCUUCUCUGUUCUCGCACGUUGGUGAGGUUCUGAGAUUGUGUUCCCUGAGUGUUUUCUCGCACGUCUGUGGGGUUCCGACUUGUGAGCUCAUCACCUUGGUGGUUGUCGGCAUUCUUUGGGAAUUGCAAGUGCUAUCUCUGUGAUAGUCGGCACUUUCUGUGGUGGUCGACCGUUUCUGUGGGUGGCUUAGUGGUGGUCGGCAGUUUCUGUGGUGGUGGGCAGCUUCGACUCCUCCUGGCGUGGCUGACGACGACACCUUCUCGUGGGCAAGUAUCUGUCGUAAGUCUUGCCGUGCUGUUUGGGUUCGUUGCUGUAUCUCUCGUGGGCUUCCUCCUGGAGUAUCUCUCAGUUCUGAGGCAGGAUGCUAAGGUGAUUUCUUGGCUAUUGGGAAUGAUUGAGCCCCAUCUUGUCACUAAUCUUCGGUGUUUUACUACGGCUCAAGCUAUGUGAGAUUACCUGCAUCGUAUUUAUCAUCAAGACCACAGUGCUCAGAAAUUCCAAUUGGAGUUGGAAAUUAGCAAUUACACUCAAGGUAAUUUGACUAUUGAGCAAUUUUAUUAUGGUUUAUUAACCUUUGGAGCGAGUAUUCUGCUAUUGCUCAUGCUAAGGUUCCCACCGCGGCACUCGCUGCUCUUCAAGCGGUUCAUGCUGAGAGUCAACGCGAUCCGUUUUUGAUGAAGCUUCGACCUGAAUUUGAGCCUAUCCGAGCCAGUUUAUUGAACCGUAAUCCGGUUCCGUCCUUGGAUAUUUGCUUGGGAGAUUUAUUGCAUGAAGAACAACGGUUAUCCACUCAGAUGGAUAUGACUUCUGAGAAGGUCUUUUCUGAGACUGUGAAUGUAGCCUAUGCAGCACAAGGGAGAGGGAGGAACAAGUUGCAGUGUUUCAGUUGCAAGGAGUUUGGUCAUAUUGCUCGCAACUGUCCGAAAAAAGUUUGUAACUACUGCAAGAAAGAGAGUCAUAUCAUCAAAGAAUGUCGGGUGCAGCCUCAUAAUCGCCAAUCCCAAGCCUUUCAAGCUGCUGUUUAGUCCUCAUCUUCUUUUGCACCCCCCACUGUAAGCUCUGAUUCAUCCGUUCUCACACUUGCUAUGGUCCAACAGAUGAUUGUGUCUACUUUUACGGCUUUAGGCUUGCAAGGAUAAGAUGUCGGGGAUGGUGAUCGCGAAGGAGCCUAAGUGGGACGUCUA